GAUGAACGCUGGCGGCGUACCUAAUACAUGCAAGUCGAGCGAACGGACGAGAAGCUUGCUUCUCUGAUGUUAGCGGCGGACGGGUGAGUAACACGUGGAUAACCUACCUAUAAGACUGGGAUAACUUCGGGAAACCGGAGCUAAUACCGGAUAAUAUUUUGAACCGCAUGGUUCAAAAGUGAAAGACGGUCUUGCUGUCACUUAUAGAUGGAACCGCGCUGCAUUAGCUAGUUGGUAAGGUAACGGCUUACCAAGGCAACGAUGCAUAGCCGACCUGAGAGGGUGAUCGGCCACACUGGAACUGAGACACGGUCCAGACUCCUACGGGAGGCAGCAGUAGGGAAUCUUCCGCAAUGGGCGAAAGCCUGACGGAGCAACGCCGCGUGAGUGAUGAAGGUCUUCGGAUCGUAAAACUCUGUUAUUAGGGAAGAACAUAUGUGUAAGUAACUGUGCACAUCUUGACGGUACCUAAUCAGAAAGCCACGGCUAACUACGUG
rnacentral:rRNA from 1 species